GGGAACAAAAACAGAAGGGAAAAAAGAAAGAAUAUACAGAUGGACUGGAAUAUUUAGCAAAAAGAACAAAAAAGAAAAGAAGAAUAUACAGAUUUUGAGCUUGCCCCAUGUUGAAGGUGAAUAUAGGGGGGAGAGAGAGAGAGAGAGCCUUUAUGCACAAAUAAAUUGAAGCAUGUACUUGAACUGCAUGCAAUUUAUGGCUGUAAUGGUUGUCCAACUCGAGUGAUGUAAGGUCUUAUUCCAUAAUUAACACGUUAUUGCAUCAUUUUAAACAUUUAUAGCUUUU